rnacentral:misc_RNA from 1 species
GAUGAAGAACGUAGUGAAAUGCGAUAAGUAAUGCGAAUUGCAGAAUUUCCGUGAGUCAUCGAAUCUUUGAACGCACAUUGCGCCCGCCAGUAUUCUGGCGGGCAUGCCUGUUCGAGCGUCAUUACAACCCUCAGGCCCCCGGGCCUGGCGUUGGGGAUCGGCGGAGCCCCCCGUGGGCACACGCCGUCCCCCAAAUACAGUGGCGGUCCCGCCGCAGCUUCCAUCGCGUAGUAGCUAACACCUCGCGACUGGAGAGCGGCGCGGCCACGCCGUAAAACACCCAACUCUUCUGAAGUUGACCUCGAAUCAGGUAGGAAUACCCGCUGAACUUAAGCAUAUCAAUAAGCGGAGGA